GUGCCAGCAGCCGCGGUAAUACGUAGGGGGCUAGCGUUGUCCGGAAUCAUUGGGCGUAAAGCGCGCGUAGGCGGCCCGGUAAGUCCGCUGUAAAAGUCAAAGGCUCAACCUUUGAAUGUCAGUGGAUACUGCCGGGCUAGAGUCCGGAAGAGGCGAGUGGAAUUCCUGGUGUAGCGGUGGAAUGCGCAGAUAUCAGGAGGAACACCAACGGCGAAGGCAGCUCGCUAGGACGGUACUGACGCUAAGGCGCGAAAGCGUGGGGAGCGAACAGGAUUAGAUACCCGCGUAGUCC
rnacentral:rRNA from 1 species